rnacentral:rRNA from 1 species
ACCUUAAAACUAGCCUAAAUAUUUUAAAAAUAUAACACUAUUAUAAUGUAUUACCUUAAAUAAUCUUAUUUAAAACAUUCUUACCUUCUUAGUAUAGGCGAUAGAACAGAAACUUAGAGCUAUAGAAAAAGUACCGCAAGGGAAAGCUGAAAAAGAAAUGAAAUAAACCAUUUAAGUAAAAAAAAGCAGAGAUAAACCCUCGUACCUUUUGCAUCAUGAUUUAGCCAGAACAACUGGGCAAAAAGACCUUAAGUCCACCUUCCCGAAACUAGACGAGCUACUUCGGAGCAGCACAUUUAGAGCCAACCCGUCUCUGUGGCAAAAGAGUGGGAAGACUCCCAAGUAGAGGUGAUAAACCUACCGAGCCUAGUGAUAGCUGGUUACCCAAGAAAAGAACCUAAAUUCUGCAUUAAUUCUUCAAUUCGUCACAUAAGAAUUACUUACAAAGACUUAUUGUAAAAAUUAAUAGUUAUUCAAAAGAGGUACAGCUCUUUUGAAUUAAGAAACAACUUUCCAAGUAGGGUAAUGAUCAUACUUUUUAAGGAUUAUAACUCAGUGGGCCUAAAAGCAGCCACCUGUGAAGCAAGCGUCAUAGCUCCAACUUUUACCAAACCAAUAAUUCUGAUAUUAAAUCACAACCCCCUUACCUAUAUUGGGUAAUUUUAUCAACUGAUAAAAGAACUUAUGCUAAAAUGAGUAAUAAGAGGCUAAACCUCUCCCUAACACCAGUGUACGUCAGAACGAAUUAAAACACUGACAAUUAACCGACGCCAAUCUGAGGCUAAUAUAUUAUUAAUAAAUAACAAGAAAAACAUAUUAAAAUUAUCGUUAACCCUACACAGGAGUGUUACUAGGAAAGAUUAAAAGAAAAUAAAGGAACUCGGCAAACAUAAACUCCGCCUGUUUACCAAAAACAUCGCCUCUUGCCCUACAUAAGUAUAAGAGGUCCCGCCUGCCCUGUGAUAUUAUUUUAACGGCCGCGGUAUUUUGACCGUGCGAAGGUAGCGUAAUCACUUGUCUUUUAAUUAAAGACCCGUAUGAAAGGCACCACGAGAGUUUAUCUGUCUCUAUUUUCCAAUCAAUGAAAUUGAUCUUCUCGUGCAGAAUCGAGAAUAAUAACAUAAGACGAGAAGACCCUAUGGAGCUUUAAACACCUAAGUUAAUUAUUUUAAUAUAUAAAUCUAAGGACACAAAUACUAUAUAAUAAAUUUAACUCAACUUGUUUUUGGUUGGGGCGACCAAGGGGUAAAACAAAACCCCCUCAUCGACUGAGUAUUUACAUACUUAAAAGUUAGAACUACAAUUCUAACUAAUAGAAUAUCUACCGAACAAUGACCCAGGACAUAUAAUCCUGAUCAAUGAACCAAGUUACCCUAGGGAUAACAGCGCAAUCCUUUCUUAGAGUCCCCAUCGCCGAAAGGGUUUACGACCUCGAUGUUGGAUCAGGACAUCCUAAUGGUGCAACCGCUAUUAAGGGUUCGUUUGUUCAACGAUUAAUAGUCCUACGUGAUCUGAGUUCAGACCGGAGUAAUCCAGGUCAGUUUCUAUCUAUGAUGGUAUUUUUCCUAGUACGAAAGGACCGGAAAAAUGAAGCCAAUACUUACAAGCACGCUUCAUUCCCACCUGCUGAAAUUAACUAAAGCAGAUAAGGGAAAAUCGCUAACCAAGCCGAAAAUCACGGUUA